GAUGAACGCUGGCGGCGUGCCUAAUACAUGCAAGUCGAGCGAACAGACGAGGAGCUUGCUCCUCUGACGUUAGCGGCGGACGGGUGAGUAACACGUGGAUAACCUACCUAUAAGACUGGGAUAACUUCGGGACACCGGAGCUAAUACCGGAUAAUAUAUUGAACCGCAUGGUUCAAUAGUGAAAGACGGUUUUGCUGUCACUUAUAGAUGGAUCCGCGCCGCAUUAGCUAGUUGGUAAGGUAAUGGCCUACCAAGGCGACGAUGCGUAGACGACCUGAGAGGGUGAUAGGCCACACUGGAGCUGAGACACGGUCCAGACGCCUACGAGAGGCAGCAGUAGGGAAUCUUACGCAGUGGGCGAAAGCCUGACGGAGCAGCGCCGAGUGAGUGAUGAAGGUCUUCGGAUCGUAAUACUGUGUUAUUAGUGAAGAACAAAUGUGUAAGUAACUAUGCACGUCUUGACGGUACCUAAUCAGAAAGCCCCGGCUAACUACGUG
rnacentral:rRNA from 1 species